GACGUAGGAUGCGAGCGUUGUCCGGAUUUAUUGGGCGUAAAGAGUUCGUAGGCGGUUUGUUAAGUCUGGUGUUAAAGACCGAGGCCCAACCUCGGAAAUGCACUGGAUACUGGCAGACUGGAGUGCAGUAGAGGCGAGUGGAAUUCCCAGUGUAGCGGUGAAAUGCGUAGAUAUUGGGAGGAACACCAGUGGCGAAGGCGGCUCACUGGACCGGUACUGACGCUGAUGCGCGAAAGCGUGGGGAGCAAACGGG
rnacentral:rRNA from 1 species